GCGUGUCAACCCUUUCGGGAGCGUCAGGGCCGAUCAUCUCCGAAAUCCCUGCAGGUCCUGCUCGAGGAGAGGCGUCUCGGGUUGGCAUGAGCCAGAGGACGAUCCCGAGUCUUCCAGGAUCCUUUUUAUUGCGAGUCGUGGAUCUUUAAGAGGACCAGGGAGAGGAAGGACGAGGACACCUGCUCCUCCGCCGCCUUCUAUGCCCAUUGACGGGUUGAAAUAUGAAGGUCCCUAGGGAUGGCCGAAGGCAGGACACCUGGACCUGUCCCGGCCUCAAUGGAAGGUCCUCCACGGGGCGGAGAGGACCUCCGCCCUCCCCCUGCCCCUGGAAAGCGUCUAAUGCUUCCCGAGGGGCUUUCGCGAGGAUUCCGUCGCGAAAACGCGAUCCUAGACAUCCUGCGGAGUUGGGAGAGCCUCUCGCAGGACCCCGAGUCCCUCGAAAAAUAUUCUCCUCACCUCCGGUCACGAUGUCCUGCACUAAGGAUGUGAAUGAAAAAAAGAGAGGAUAUUUAAUUCCCCAGACUCUGGACAAAUUUGAGGAAUCCUGUGAAAUAUGACGCGUCUUCGGGUCACUUGGAAAGGACUCGCCGACAAAGGGGCACCCAGGGAGUCCCAUGGGACGAUCCUUCGCGUGCUAAAAAUCGUUAAUCGUUCUGGUAAUCAUUCGAGGAGGUGCAGGAGCCUCGGAAGGACAAAUUCGAAGGAUUUUCCGGAAGGUGACGGGACGGGAUCGAAAAAAAAUCUUUCGGGAAGGACGAGGAACCGCAUGCAACCGACCGCGAGGACUCCAGGAGGCUGUCUCGUCGUCGACGAAUUUCUCGACACAAUGACGGAGCGACUCCUUUGACGGCGACGAAUGGGUGGAAACGUACCCCAUCAUUUGACGUUGAAUGCAGCGGAACACAUUGACGCGUCUUCUGACGUUUUAAUAAUGCCUCCGGAUUCGGGCACGCGGAAAAUGCCGUUUCGGGACCAUUUUUGGCAAAUUUUUACGCCCCUGAUGAUCGCCGCUUAACGGUGGAAGGAAAAUCCAUGACGAACAUUUUCUUUCUUCCGAAGGUCCAUCCAAGCGAAUGGACACUUAAUACGGACUCGAUGACAUCCUCGCAGGACCUCGAUCGAGAGCCUGACGAAUCCUGGCCGGGCUUGAAGAAAUUUACGGAGGUCCCAGGUAGGGGAGGACGUCUCGGUCGAUUUCAAGGAUCCAAGGAUCUCUCCUUGUGUUUCCUCGACCGGAUGCCGCCGGUCAACCCCUCGACAGGGGGUCGGCAAGGUGCAUCGGAGUAGCUGGAUUUUCCUCUCGGUACCGGAAGUGCAACCUCGUUGGUGACUCGUUUCAUCCCCUGCGGGGUAGAGACGGGGAAUGAAAACCCACAAGCAAGGGGGUUGAAUGGGAGUGACCUUGACAAAACAUCCCGGCCGCGAAUGAGGCCGUUGAGCCGCGAGA